UACAGAGGGUGCGAGCGUUAAUCGGAAUUACUGGGCGUAAAGGGUGCGUAGGUGGUUGCAUAAGUUAGGUAUGAAAGUCCUGGGCUUAACCUGGGGACUGCGCCUAAGACUGUGUGGCUAGAGUACUGUAGAGGAAGGUGGAAUUUCCAGUGUAGCGGUGAAAUUCGUAGAUAUUAGCAGGAACACCGGUGGCGAAGGCGGCUAUCUGGACGACAACUGACACUGAGGCGCGAAAGCGUGGGGAUCAAACAGG
rnacentral:rRNA from 1 species